UCUUUCCAUUAUCUAGCUACCUGUCUUCUACACAACCCCAAACUCUAGAGAGAUAUGGACACAGAGACAGAGAGAGAGAGAGAUAGAGGAGUGCGAUGGUGAAGGUGAUGUGGUUUGAACCAUCGCACGAACACCUGCCGCUGGCGAACACCACCACCGGAGUUCCCUGCCGCCGCACGAACACCAUCGGAGUUUCCUGCUGCUGCCGCACGAACACCACCACUAGAGUUCCCUGUCGCCGCACGAACACCACCAGUGUUCCCUGCCACCGCACGAACACCACCGGAGUUCCCUGCAGCCGCACGAACACCAUCGGAAUUCCUAGCCAUUCACCGGAGCACAUCCAACGUUCACCUAGAUUUCCGGCAGUUUGCAAGCGUUCUACGUUUGUCUUUAUUCUCCAGUUUAGGUGAUAGCUUUUAUGUUCGUCUGCUUCAAUCUGCUUUUGCUAAAUGACAACUGUAUAUACAGAAAUUUUGGAGCUUUAGCUGCACAAAGAUCAUCAAAUCUCCGGUUUUCAUACAAGUCUGCAUCCAGAAGAGUUCGCAUGGAAAACAAUCACCACAGCGAUGCAAGAGGUGCUCUUAUCGUUCUAGAAGGUUUGGAUCGAAGUGGGAAGACCUCACAGUCUGGUAGGCUUGUCGCAUACUUAAAUGGUCUUGGGCAUCCAGUAGAAUCAGAAUCAUGGCGGUUUCCAGAUAGAGAUACUGCUGUCGGGAAAAUGAUUUCAGCGUAUCUUUCCAAUGAAUCUCAGCUCGAUGAUCACAUAAUUCAUCUUCUUUUUAGUGCAAAUCGUUGGGAGAAAAGAUCAUUGAUGGAGGCUAAGCUACAUUGAUGGAGGCUAAGCUAAAAAGUGGUACUCCUUUGAUUGUUGAUCGAUAUUCUUAUUCAGGGGUUGCCUAUUCAUCUGCCAAAGGUUUAGAUAUUGAAUGGUGUAAGUGAUGAGGCAAUCGAUAUCAAAUAUGACGUAACAAGAGUGUAAACCAUGAGGUGAGUUGAUUAAAGGACAGUUGAGACCUAGAAAGAAGAACAUUUCAGGUGAGUCGUUUAUCUUAAUAGCAUUUCUUUAUCUUACUCUUCUAGCAGACUUUAUUUUUUAUGUGUUAAUGUGUUUUGUUGAAUUUUGUGACCUUGGAAUGGCAUGUAAUAGUAGGUAAUUAAAGUUAAGUGUUAGAAAUAUCAAAUGGUUGGUAAAACCGAGGUAAAAAGUAGGUCGAUUUGUGGGUGUAAAUGGAAUGAAUUUUCCCAAUCCCUAAAGUAAAAGACGAAGACAGCGAGUGACGUGUUUCUGAGGAGGUAAACCUAGGAUCCAGCUGGAUGCACCGGAAAUUGUUGAUACACUUUUGCUCUUAGUAUAGUUUGUAAUGCCAUUAUUAGUAUCAGUAAUGAUGAUGUUGUAAUAGACCUGGAGAUUAGCAAAAUAGUUGAUGAAACUUAAAUUUGAUUGCAUACCAGAAGUUAAUGAAUUAAAUUUAGGUUGCAGCCCAAAAUCUAUUAGCUCACUAACUAAUUUGCACCCCAAACAAAUAGCAAAAUAGCCGCCCAGUAAUAACUUGCAGAGUUGCAGCGCAUAGGUUAGCAAAAUACAAGCCCAUUUAUAAUUUGAAGAGUCGCAGCCCAAAAAUUAGCAAAAAUAGCAGCCCAGUUUUCUUCAAAUGCCUUAUAAGUUAUUUGCAUUGUAGUUGAAUGACGUGAUGCCGCUAAAGUUUUGAAAAACAACAUGGUUAAUAAACAAUAGGUUGAUUGGUGGUGGUGCAGUCACCAUGCGUGACUUGCUUGAGUUGUUCCGCCCAAGGUAAUACACUAUCUUGAGAACGUAAGUCUAAAAUUAUUGCUCUUUUUUUUGCUAUUAUUAAAGGAAUCCACUCGCUAUUAGUUUCAAUGUGAAUUAUAAAAUUGCUGGUAACUUGCUUCUUCUUUAUAAACUUUUAGUUAUGUCUGUCUAUGUGUUUGAUGAUAUUCACCCAAGUGUCAAAUAGGCUGUGAUGAGUUGAGUGAAAAAUGUCUCUUGAUGCGGCAAAAUCCGAAGACAGCAGGUGCGAGUUUCUCCACUUGCAACUUCUAUUGCAACCAUGGUCGUCUAAUAGACAAAUUUGCACCAAAAAGGUCGGUCAGGUCAAUAUCUGGCGGCAUAGCUACAAGCCGUAUGUCCUUGCGAUUUUUGUUUCAGUAUUCAUCAGUUUGAGUUUAUCGUGCAGGUACAUUACCUAAUUUCACGGGAAACUUAGCUUCAAUGGAUCAUUAGACACGUUACGUACAAUCUAGCGGUAAUUGCUACCGGACCCCGCCGCAACGCGGCGGGACUGUUUUCUAGUUAUUUACUAAAUUCAACCCUUUGGAAGUUUAGAGCUUUGCUAUUUUUUAAAUCCUUCAUUCAUGCACAUCUUUGUAUCAACGCAACUAAGGACUACCCUUCAACACAAUUUACACACACAAUUCAUAAGCACUAUUGUAAGAUACUUAUUGCAAGCAAGCAAUUCCACCAUAGCAUUGCCAUUUGAGAAUAACACAAGUACAAUUGUAAAUAAUCAAAAAAAAAAAAAAAAAAAAAAA